ensembl:processed_transcript
GAGAUAUUUUGACAGUGCAGAUCACCUUGUAUAUAUAUUAUACUUUGCGUUAUAGCCACUGAAACUUCAAAACAUUUAGAUAUGGUCUUAUAGCCCAGUCACAACGUGCAGCUACAGGUCCUCACUGAGCUCCUUUCAGAUUCCGUCUGGCCCUAGCCAUGACUUUCCCCAAACCAACAGCAGAGAGCUUUUGUUUUUCACCUGUUGAGUUGAUUAAAACAGCAGUUCCAAAUGAAUCAGGGUAAUUAGGAGGCUUUGAAACAGCUUGGACUAUUUGUAA